rnacentral:lncRNA from 1 species
CUUUUUUAUUUUAUUGCAUUUAUUUAUUAUUUAUUUAUUUAUUUAUUUAUUUAUCGUUUGUUUGUUUGUUUGUUUAAUGUGUGUGCGUCUGUGGAGGUCAGAGGACAGCUUUGCAGGAGUUCGCUCUUCCACCACGUGGACUCCAGGGAUCAAAACCUGAUGGCCAGUGCGGAGCCAUCUUGCUGUCUCCACAGGUUUCCAGGAUCAAGCUGUGCCAGACAUGAUGGGUUGUGCCUGAAGAGGGAACUUGGAUUAGUCAGAUAAGGGGAUGCUCCCGAGAGAAGUGUGCAAAUAAAGCACGGGACCCCGAGGACCAGGAGAAAGAAAAUAAAGUCAACUGCAAGGUUUAACUUGUGUUAGAGCAGAUGCUGUUCAAUCUGCUCAGCGGGAAGGAAGCACCGAGCAAGCGGCUCCGCCACUCCCGCCUGCCCCCGCCAGCUCUGGCAGAUCGGAUGUUAAACUAUUAGCCUAUUAGCGUGAUUGGGUGACUGAUGACUUUGCAACUAAUUUCGCUGGAUUGGAAAGAGA